GUUCCCUGCUGCCUGCCGGCCUUGCCUCAGACUUGAGCGAGUGCGACCUCCUUGUCCUCACUCAGACGUGAGGCCCCGAGGGGAACAUGCCAUCACAGCACAAAGUCCUCUGUGGCCUGCCUUCAGAGUCACCAGGGUCAUUGCUGUGUGAGGUCUGCUACUUCAUGCUCCCACUGGAACAGCCUCCUGGCCCACAGCAGCAAGGGCUCUGGCCAUCACACAUGUGCUUGACACCUG